UUCACUGGUACAUCAGAGAAAGCAGAAAAGGUUGCCUGGCAUUUUAUAGAAUGUUUCUGGGUGCAAGACGUGGAUCAAAUGAAGGAGUUGCAUUUAUAGACCUAGAAGUUAUAUUUAUAGACCAAUUGUUUCUUUAAGCCAGCUAUCCAGUAUGUAGCAGUUAAUUUUACCUAAAAGAACAGAAAAGUUUUUUAUGAUUUGCAACAGAGCUUCAUGUCACGGUCACUUCUGAAGUUAUCUAUCCAGGUUUUACUGAACUACUGUAAGGACAGAUCAACAUCAAAACACAUGAGCACACUAUAGAUGCAUAGCAAAUUGUGAUAUAAGCACCAGCUCCACUGUCUUGAAGUAAUGGAAUGGAAAUAAUGGAAAGACAACAGAUUGGGGGUUUACAAUAACAGAUGAGACCUCGGUGUCUGUAUUGGAACUGUUGAAUCACAGCUGAACCUCUGAUUGAUCACCUGAGGCGAGCACUGAGUCAGCCCUGGGAGCACAGGUGAAGGCAAUUCAGCUGUGUGACCAGAGGGGGUGGAGCUUGGCUGCAUCACUCCCAGACCCCAGUUAAGGGCUCACUGCUACUGAGGAAGGAUCUCUCUCUGGAUAUUGCUCUUUUUGAAGUUCCUUGUGAGCCUGCAACCCUGAUAUCUCCCAAAUAGCUAAUGGAUGUAAACUUCAUAUUUGCCCUCUUGAAAUACAGAUUUGAAAGGCAGAAAUCGUGACAGAGAAAUUGACUUAUCCAUCAGAACUCCAAGUGAGAUACUGGAAUUAAAUGGACUGGGUUGAACUGUGGGGACCGUUUCUGGCAAGAAUACUGAAGCUACUUCAUAAAAUUUAAAGUCGGAGAGCUUUGGCUACAUGAUUCUGAUUGUUUCAUCCCUAAAACUUAUAAAGUGCAGCCCUUCUGGCAACACGUGUUGUUUCAGUCAAUCUGACUGUGACAAUGCACAGGGCCAAAUCCAGUGUUAUGUGGGUGGAGUGAUGACGUGGAGGAUUCUGGCCAAGGCUCUUGCUGCUGUGUUGUAGAAUCUCAUGACCUUUUUUAAGCUUAAAUUGGAAACCAGCCUUCUGAGACAAUGAAUUUCAGUCAAGAAUAGUCCCCAUCCUCAUUUCCCAGAAGGGCUACAUGAAAUACAUCUGAACAGUUUCACUGUGUACCCUCUCUUUUAGUUUCUGUUGUUUCUGUUUCUGUGACAAAGACUUCACAGAGUACUGAAGCUCUGUGGACUAAACAUCCACAUCUUUGUUUUCAAGUUACCACCUUCGCAUCCAUCAGGACCAAAAGGACUCCACUGCUGAUACACCUGAAUGUCAAAAUGCUGAGGGUGAAGUAGUUCACCUCUUUUCUCGUGGCUUUAUAAAGGCAAUAUCUAAACUCUCUAUGGGAUAAAAUCCUCUCGGUUUUUUCUUUUCUUUUUUUUCUCCCCCACCUUUCUCAAAAGCAUUGAGGGACUUAAGACCACAUUCCCAAAUACAAAACUUUAAGGCUUCUGUCUUGAACUUCAAAUUCAAAUCCAUCUCUACUGACCUUUGAUGUUCUGUACUAGAGAAGCUGAACGUGGGUUGUCGCCAGUAAAGGUACUCUCUGGAUGGUGUUCUGGAGCUUAGUGCUCACUGACAUGGGUUUUAUGCGUAGAGGUAGCUGAGAAACAACAAGGGUUAUGAAGAGAGUAGAAAGGAAUGGCUCAAAUGAACAAAGUGCUUUGUCAUGUAAGGGCUGCACUCAGCCAUGAGCCUUUAGUUUCUCUUCCGUGUAAGUGACUAAGGAGCGGUAGGGAGCCCCAUUACUUCCCUGUAUGUGGGCUACUUUAUCUUCAUAAAUAGGAAAGGAGCCAAUACCAGAUUGCUAUUCUCCUGCUAUGCAGGAAGGCAAGAGGUGGGAAAAAGCAUGUGAAAAAUACUGCAUCUUGAUGUUGUUUUUCAUUCUUCUAUGUAAAUUUAUUUGCUGCAGUUUCUUUAUUUGUUCAAGUAAACCACGGGGGGGAAAAAAGAAAAGAAAGCUGCUAGGGAAGGAGCCAAAACUGCUUUCCACCAAAAGUAGAAGAUAGCUCAGAUUAAUGAGAUCAUAUUUUGAUUCUUAAUCUGCUCAAGUUGUAUUGCACAAACCUGUUAAUACUUCUUGUACUGAGCUGUAAGUAAAAUGAUGUGCUGAUCAGAGUAACUUUAUGGGCAGCAGUUUCAGUUCAGAGGCUGCACAAGCAGCUGUGAUGAAAAUGCAGAGACUGCCUUGCAGCAAUUGUUCUUGAAAAAUAUUUCCAAUAUUUGUUACCAGGAGCAAACAAGCUUUUAUGCACUAAGGGUGUAAUAUGAACUAGUCUGAGUUAUGAGCACCUACUAAGAAAAAAAAAUUGAUCCCCAAAGCACUAUAUUUUAAUAAACAGUUUCCUUCCACUGUCAAAAUGAAAUCUCCCUGGUUUUAUAUUUUUAUUGCACAUUCUCUACCAGCUGAGAGAAUAUCAGCCGAAUUGAGCUUUAGCAAGGCCAUUGCUUCCAAACUUGUUAUAUUCUAUUG